CCUACGGGUGGCUGCAGUGGGGAAUUUUGGACAAUGGGGGCAACCCUGAUCCAGCCAUGCCGCGUGAGUGAAGAAGGCCUUCGGGUUGUAAAGCUCUUUCGGACGGAACGAAAUGGGCGGGACUAAUACUCCUGUCCGAUGACGGUACCGUAAGAAGAAGCACCGGCUAACUACGUGCCAGCAGCCGCGGUAAUACGUAGGGUGCGAGCGUUAAUCGGAAUUACUGGGCGUAAAGCGUGCGCAGGCGGUUUCGUAAGCUGGAGGUGAAAUCCCCG
rnacentral:rRNA from 1 species